GGUUGGAAAUAUAUUAUAUGCUGCUGUUCCGCACACGCACCAUAAAAACACUCAAAAAGAACAAAUGGAACAUUGCCCUUGCUUGACGUAGAAACAGGUGAACAGUUUUGGAACACUGAGCCAUUGACUACCUGCCUGCACCAGGUUGCUGUGUUAGGAGUGGGUCGCUUUUGACAGUAAGGCAAAGGACUACAGCCAUAUAGGUUUGAACCUAGAGGAAGACCAAGAGACGGGAGUAGGCAAGAAGGAAUCGACCGGGAUGGGCGAGAGGAAUGUCAAGUUUGGCCAGAAAAGCAUGGUUUAUCAUCUGAUUUCUUGGAGCCUGAGCAGGAGACUCUGGGCCAAUGGGAGAUCAGGGGUGAGUCUACUGGGCUAUGGAACUCUAGUGCAGAACAUCAAAAGACCUGCCACCCUGUUGUCAGCUAUGUGAAGGAUGCCACUAUCAAGGCUUUCAAAGGCCACAUUUUUGGGGAUGACCAAAUGCAAUAAAGUUUUGUAUAAACUCAUACAUUUUGUUACAUUAUAAUACAAAUACUUUUCCAUAGAAUGUUUGUCAUUAACUUUUAAUACUUCCUGUGGUAGCAAACACAACACUUGAAGCUUACGAUUCAAAAUGUCUAAAGUGAAUGCUAAAUAGAUUUGUAUUAAUGCAUAUUAGACAUAACACAGGUGUUUCAACUAAAGUAUACUGUACAUCUCAGACAAGAUUGAAGAAUGGGACAAAGUGAAAAUAAGUCAAUGCUUGUGUCCGUAGCUGUUGGUAUGAAUUGAAGUGGUUACAUACAAUACAUGUUGACAGAAUGGCUGUGAGACAGCGAGAGAGAUUGUUGCUGUACUCCAAGGGAAGGCUUUUGGUUCCGGUACCACUGAAGGCCAAAGUUUUCAGUCAGGCAGCUUGAAGAUGUGUCCUCAUCCAGGCCCAUGUCACAGCAUGCAGUGUUCUGAUAGGUAGAUGACAAUAAAUGCAUUAUGUUCCUUCCAUCACUGUCUCUAGCCUGGUCCAAGACCUGUUGUUUAACCCUUCAGAGUAAACUGGCACACAUGUCACUUCCUGUUGAAUGAGGGAGAGCGCGGUUUGUUGUUUUGAAAGUGUUAUUGGAAAGUUUCUUAGUAGCUAGCUAACUUAUUAGUUUGGAUCCCACAACGCAGUUGGCAGCAGUUGCUGGGACAGGCUAGUCCCCAGUGAUCCUGCUGACCAAGGCUGGGUCUGAGUAGCUAUUUGGAGUAGCAGCUAGCUAGCUGCCUAGCGGGGUUUUCUUGUGGGCUUGAACGCAACCCUGUGAUGCAGUUAUCCAUUGUGGAUGGGACAGCUGUUUGUCUCGGCUUUGUGGCUGUCAAGAUCCCUGCUCUUAGUUGUUUUCAAUCUUCCCUGUGACCUGCCCUGUCUGGAACUGCAAGGAGUAACAGCGUAACCUAUGUUGCUACCGACCAUGACAAAGACCAAAGACGGCGGGAGUACCAUUGAGGACAGUAGUGUCUCUGAAUCACACGUGAAGGAUCUUUUAAACUAACGAGUUCUACAAGCAGUUGUUACAACAAGAAAAUAGCUUCAAGUGUGUUGUCCAAAUACUGGUGGAUCCAACUACUAAAAUAAUGGAUGACCUCACCGGAGGGGACCUGAAGAACAGUU